rnacentral:lncRNA from 1 species
GAAUAAGGAUCUGCAUCUUCUUUUCCCUCCGGGCAUGGACUUAGAGCAUGACAUGGCCCAGCCACCAGCUACAAAGGGGCAGGAACAGCAAAAGGGGCUGAGCACAUGAGAACGUCUGUUUGUCUGAGAGGACCGGAUGCCCUUGUGUCACUGAUUGCCCAGCAGAGAAAAGUCUCACCAUAUUACGUGGACAGGAAGGACUGGGAGAACGCUGGCAUCCAGGAUUCUACUAAGGCCGUGAUGCAAGAAGGAUCUUCAGAAGAGCUCCACAGCAGCCAACUGUGUGAGAGCAAAGUAAAUGAACAUGCUGGGCCACUGGUUAACGGAGGCAGAAGGACGGUGGUGACAGGAGGUGGAGGCUACCUGGGAUACCAUCUGGGAUGUGCUCUUGUCAGGGUGAUGUGAGGGAUUAUGAUGCAGUGUUCAAAGCGUGUGAAGGAGUUGACUGUGUUUUUCAUGCAGCUGCAUGUGGAAUGUCAGGAUUAGAACAAAUUCAAAAGAAAGACCAGAUAGAAUCCAUCAAUGUCGGAGGCACAAAAAUAAUAAUUGAUGUCUGCAAACAAAGAAAUAUCCCUAGACUGAUAUAUACCAGUACAGUGAAUGUGGUAUUUGGAGGAAAUCCUAUUGAAGAGGGAGAUGAAGAAACGGUGCCAUAUUUUCCACUGGAAAAGCAAUUUAAUCAUUAUUCUAGAACAAAGGCAAUUGCAGACCAAAUGGUUCUUGCUGCUAAUGGAACUUUACUCAAAGGAGGUGAGAAGCUCCAUACCUGUGUGCUUCGCCCACCAGGCAUCUAUGGACCAGAAGAGCCGCGCCACCUGCCACGAGUCGCCGUAAAUAUCCAGCGGAGACUAUUUAACUUCAAAUUUGGGAAUCACAAAGUUCAGAUGAACUGGGUUCACAUAGGAAAUCUAGUACAAGCUCACUUACUAGCUGCUGAGGCUCUCACUUCUGAGAAGCGUUAUGUAGCUAGUGGUCAAGCGUAUUACAUCCAUGAUGGUGAAAACGUGGUAUUUUCUGAAUGGAUCGUCCCUUUGUUUGAAAAAUUAGGCUACAGGAAACCCUGGAUACAUAUUCCUGUUCUUCUGGUUCAUAUAGCAGCCACUGUGAUGGAAUAUCUGCACCUGAUACUAAAGCCAGUUUUCAGCUUUACACCUUUCUUGACAAGGAAUGAGGUGUGGAAUGUUACUGUAACUCACACUUUCCGAAUAGACAAAGCACGAAAUCAACUUGGUUACAAACCAAAGAAAUUCUCAUUCGCUGAUUCUGUGGAUCACUAUCUGAAAACAAGACCUACUUGCCAAAAGGAUCACACAUUCCUUAAAAUGGUGGUUGCUUUCAGCAUUUUGCUAAGUUUGAUCAUUCUUUCCUUCUUCUAAAGUCAAAUAACUACCCACCUGUACCAGAAGACCUAAUUUUGUUUCUGAGUAUUAAUGAUCUGGUCAUAGUACAUUCCUCAGCCACUCUGGACUCUAUUCGUACUGUUAUGAUGACAUUUCUCUAUCUCAAAAACACACAACCCCCCCCAAAACAAUCAAAAAAACCUGCCACAAAAGUGAAAACACAGGAUACAUCAGGAAAUGUUCCCAAAGGACAAUGCAGUGUCACAAAAUCAAAGGAGCUUAUCACUAACAUGUGCAGGAAUGGUUUCAAUGGAUCUUCAUUAAUGGAUUGCUUCAUGCUGAGAAUUAUUUUCUAAAAAUGAUAAUUCAGGAGGGAGGGCAAGAAAUUGGAAGAAGAGGAAUCAUUGUAGUAUAACCAGUGCUAUAAAAAGUCCAGCAGCUCCAAGGAAGAAAGGGUUGACUAAAUAAUUCCUCUGAUGACACCACUGCUACAGCUGCUGUGUGUUAGUAUGAGGAAUUAUGAAGCCCUGGGAAACAGUAAAACAAAAUAUGAAAGUAAAUAUAUAUAAAUAACAGGUGGUGAGAAAACUGGAAGUAAUUUUUAUGUAAAAUAGUUUUAAUGUUCAAAAGCUUUGUAAAAAUGUAAUAAAUAACAUUAUGUGUGUUUGUAAGUCA